rnacentral:rRNA from 1 species
CUAUGUGUUGUUGGGUAGGGGAGCGUUCUGUAAGCCUGUGAAGGUGUGCUGUGAGGUAUGCUGGAGGUAUCAGAAGUGCGAAUGCUGACAUAAGUAACGAUAAAGCGGGUGAAAAGCCCGCUCGCCGGAAGACCAAGGGUUCCUGUCCAACGUUAAUCGGGGCAGGGUGAGUCGACCCCUAAGGCGAGGCCGAAAGGCGUAGUCGAUGGGAAACAGGUUAAUAUUCCUGUACUUGGUGUUACUGCGAAGGGGGGACGGAGAAGGCUAUGUUGGCCGGGCGACGGUUGUCCCGGUUUAAGCGUGUAGGCUGGUUUUCCAGGCAAAUCCGGAAAAUCAAGGCUGAGGCGUGAUGACGAGGCACUACGGUGCUGAAGUAACAAAUGCCCUGCUUCCAGGAAAAGCCUCUAAGCAUCAGGUAACAUCAAAUCGUACCCCAAACCGACACAGGUGGUCAGGUAGAGAAUACCAAGGCGCUUGAGAGAACUCGGGUGAAGGAACUAGGCAAAAUGGUGCCGUAACUUCGGGAGAAGGCACGCUGAUAUGUAGGUGAAGCGACUUGCUCGUGGAGCUGAAAUCAGUCGAAGAUACCAGCUGGCUGCAACUGUUUAUUAAAAACACAGCACUGUGCAAACACGAAAGUGGACGUAUACGGUGUGACGCCUGCCCGGUGCCGGAAGGUUAAUUGAUGGGGU